AUACUUGUCUGGCAGGGAAGAUAACAUGAUAAUGAAGGUGGUUUUCCCAGUGUGAGGUUUAUUUAUUGCACUCUGGGUGUGCAGACCCCUGCAAUUUCCCCAAAAGUGGGAAGCCUGGCUGCAUAAUUUGUGACUACAUUGUAUUUGUGUUCUUCCUUGGACAAAA
rnacentral:snRNA from 10 species